rnacentral:rRNA from 1 species
ACGAACGCUGGCGGCGUGCUUAACCCAUGCAAGUCGAACGGAAAGGCCCUGCUUUUGUGGGGUGCUCGAGUGGCGAACGGGUGAGUAGCACGUGAGUAACCUGCCCUUGACUUUGGGAUAACUUCAGGAAACUGGGGCUAAUACCGGAUAGGAGCUCCUGCUGCAUGGUGGGGGUUGGAAAGUUUCGGCGGUUGGGGAUGGACUCGCGGCUUAUCAGCUUGUUGGUGGGGUAGUGGCUUACCAAGGCUUUGACGGGGAGCCGGCCUGAGAGGGUGACCGGCCACAUUGGGACUGAGAUACGGCCCAGACUCCUACGGGAGGCAGCAGUGGGGAAUAUUGCACAAUGGGCGGAAGCCUGAUGCAGCAACGCCGCGUGCGGGAUGACGGCCUUCGGGUUGUAAACCGCUUCCGCCUGUGACGAAGCGUGAGUGACGGUAAUGGGUAAAGAAGCACCGGCUAACUACGUG